GACGAACGCUGGCGGCGUGCUUAACACAUGCAAGUCGAACGGAAAGGCCCUGCUUUUGUGGGGUGCUCGAGUGGCGAACGGGUGAGUAACACGUGAGUAACCUGCCCUUGACUUUGGGAUAACUUCAGGAAACUGGGGCUAAUACCCGAUAGGAGCUCCUGCUGCAUGGUGGGGGUUGGAAAGUUUCGGCGGUUGGGGAUGGACUCGCGGCUUAUCAGCUUGUUGGUGGGGUAGUGGCUUACCAAGGCUUUGACGGGUAGCCGGCCUGAGAGGGUGACCGGCCACAUUGGGACUGAGAUACGGCCCAGACUCCUACGGGAGGCAGCAGUGGGGAAUAUUGCACCAUGGGCCGAAGCCUUAUGCAGCAACGCCGCGUGCGGGAUGACGGCCUUCGGGUUGUAAACCGCUUUCGCCUGUGACGAAGCGUGAGUGACGGUAAUGGGUAAAGAAGCACCGGCUAACUACGUG
rnacentral:rRNA from 1 species